GUGAGGAAUAUUGGUCAAUGGGCGGGAGCCUGAACCAGCCAAGUCGCGUGAAGGAAGAAGGAUCUAUGGUUCGUAAACUUCUUUUGCAGGGGAAUAAAGUGCGGGACGCGUCCUGUUUUGUAUGUACCCUGAGAAUAAGGAUCGGCUAACUCCGUGCCAGCAGCCGCGGUAAUACGGAGGAUCCGAGCGUUAUCCGGAUUUAUUGGGUUUAAAGGGUGCGUAGGUGGUUUGAUAAGUCAGCGGUGAAAGUUUGCAGCUUAACUGUAAAAAUGCCGUUGAAACUGUCGGACUUGAGUGUAAAUGAGGUAGGCGGAAUGCGUGGUGUAGCGGUGAAAUGCAUAGAUAUCACGCAGAACUCCGAUUGCGAAGGCAGCUUACUAAGCUACAACUGACACUGAAGCACGAAAGCGUGGGGAUCAAACAGGAUUAGAUACCCCAGUAGUCC
rnacentral:rRNA from 1 species